CAGCGGAGCAUGUGGUUUAAUUCGAAGCAACGCGAAGAACCUUACCAGAUCUUGACAUCCAAUUGACCAUCUUUUAAUCGAGAUUUUGCCUUCGGGUACAAUUGAGACAGGUGGUGCAUGGUUGUCGUCAGCUCGUGUCGUGAGAUGUUGGGUUAAGUCCCGCAACGAGCGCAACCCUUGUGUUUAGUUGCAAACAGGUCAAGCUGUGCACUCUAGACAGACUGCCGUGGACAACACGGAGGAAGGUGGGGAUGACGUCAAAUCAUCAUGCCCCUUAUGAUCUGGGCUACACACGUGCUACAAUGGCCGGUACAACGGGCAGCGAAGGAGCGAUCCGGAGCGAAUCCUAAAAAGCCGGUCCCAGUUCGGAUUGCAGGCUGAAACUCGCCUACAUGAAGUUGGAGUUGCUAGUAAUCGCGAAUCAGAACUGUCGCGGUAGAAUAGCGUUCCCGGGUCUU
rnacentral:rRNA from 1 species